rnacentral:lncRNA from 1 species
GUCAAAUUUUAACCAUUUUUUCGUAAAUCUUAGUAAUCUUUUACAAAAAUCUUCUCCUCUGAAACUACUGGGGCAAAUUAAACCAAACUUGGCCACAAUCAUCAUUGGGGUAUCUAGUUUAAGAAAUGUGUGGCGUGACCCGGCCAACCAACCAAGAUGGCCGCCAUGGCUAAAAAUAGAACAUAGGGGUAAAAUGCAGUUUUUGGCUUAUAACUCAAAAACCAAAGCACUUAGAGCAAAUCUGACAUUAAAAAAUUGUUAAUCAGGUCAAGAUCUUUCUGCCCUCAAAUUUUUAGAUGAAUCCGACAACCCGUUGUUUGGUUGCUGCCCCUGAAUUGGUAAUUUUAGGGAAUUUUUGCUGUUUUUGGUUAUUAUCUUGAAUAUUAUUAUAGAUAGAGAUAAACUGUAAACUGCAAAAAUGUUCAGCAAAGUUAGAUUUACAAAUAAGUCAACAUGACCAAAAUAGUCAAUUGACCCCUUAAGGAGUUAUUGCCCUUUAUAGUUAAUUUUUAGCAUUUUUCAUAAAUUUUUGUAAAUUUUUAGAAAAUAUUUUCCACUGUAAUUACUGGGCCAAGUUCAUUAUAGAUAAAGAUAAUUGUAGCAACAAGAAUGUUCAGUAAAGUAAGAUCUACAAACACAUCACCAUCACCAAAGCACAAUUAUGUCAUGAAUUUAUCUGUGUCCAUUGUUUAAUAUGCACAUAGACCAAGGUGAGCGACACAGGCUCUUGAGAGCCUCUAGUUUGUCAAAAUGAAAGUGGCCGCAUCCGUGUUCAUCCUCAACCUUUAUAUAUGUUAUGUAUUAUCAUCAAAUACAACUUACAUUUCAAUAUUAAGAAUGAACACAAAUGCGGCCACUUUCAUUUAAGACGGAAACCAUCUAAAAUUUAACUUAAAUGCUAAAAUUGUGAAGAUUUCAGUAAUUCAGCAUGACUUAAUGAUGCCAGUACCCGAUAUAUGUGCAUUGUAUUGUCAAAAGCAGCC